GAUGAACGCUGGCGGCGUGCCUAAUACAUGCAAGUCGAGCGAACGGACGAGAAGCUUGCUUCUCUGAUGUUAGCGGCGGACGGGUGAGUAACACGUGGAUAACCUACCUAUAAGACUGGGAUAACUUCGGGAAACCGGAGCUAAUACCGGAUAAUAUUUUGAACCGCAUGGUUCAAAAGUGAAAGACGGUCUUGCUGUCACUUAUAGAUGGAUCCGCGCUGCAUUAGCUAGUUGGUAAGGUAACGGCUUACCAAGGCAACGAUGCAUAGCCGACCGGAGAGGGUGAUCCGCCACACUGGAACUGAGACACGGUCCCGACUCCUGCGGGAGGCAGCAGUACGGACUCUUCCGCAAUGGGCGAGUGCCUGACGGAGCAACGCCGCGUGAGUGAUGAAGGUCUUCGGAUCGUAAAACUCUGUUAUUAGGGAAGAACAUAUGUGUAAGUAACUGUGCACAUCUUGACGGUACCUAAUCAGAAAGCCACGGCUAACUACGUG
rnacentral:rRNA from 1 species